rnacentral:miRNA from 1 species
CAACAACUGGAUUGUGAGACAC